CUUCUCCUUUGCUUUAUGCACAGUGAGGAAGGAUGGAAACUGCCUGUGGGACUGUAUAGGAGACCCUCGUUUAACGUUGAUUAAAAAAUCUCCUAUGUCAUCUUAACUCUGCUUAUUAAGACCUGAAGAAUAUCAGCUCUCUCCUACCAGGAUUCUUACAAAAUGGGAAUUUGUUAUUCCUGCUUAAAGAAGCUGGGAAGUUGGCCCUUUUCGCUUGAGUACUGAGUUUCAGCAAAUUAAUUCAGAAGCCACCACAACCCAGAACACUUCAUCUCCUACUCUUCCCAGCCUAAUUCUCAAAUUCCUGAUUGAAUGCCGCUUUCUUGUGAAUUUCUGGCUUUGGUCUCCUGUUACACACUCAGAAUUAGCGGUGAAAACGUGGAUCCCAGUGAUUUCCAACAUACUUUUUUACACCACUGAAAUGCUAGAAGUGACUCUUGGACAAGAGGGCCAAAUCCCUGCCCUCAAUACAGCAAUAGCAUUUGGGGUGCCUCGACCAGACUCUCAUCGGCCAUUUGCCUUCAUAAAGGGUGUGUGUUUGUCAAUCUCAAAAGCUGCUGCAUCUCCUACAGCAUCAUCCAACGAUGCCAGGAAAACGGGAAAGAAGUCAAUGGAUCUCUGCCAAGAAAAACCAGAGGAGCCACCAAGUGCCGCCUGUGUCAGCUCCUGCCCCGACCCUCUGCUCCCCUGCCUGUCCCAGAUUUCUCCUGAGUGCCCAGGUCCAUCCGUGCCCUUGCUCCUUUUGAUGGCUCUGAGAGGACGAUGGUUUCAGGUGAUAGUUUCAACGAAGUGAGCACGUUUUCCAGUUUCAAUGAGAUUUAACCCGACUGCUAAAGUUCUGGUAAGUGGUUCCUCAGUUUUGGGGUAAGCGCCGUUCUCCAGUUUCACUGGUGGUGUGUAGAAGUUUAUGGGUUCAUUGUAGACCAGU
rnacentral:lncRNA from 1 species